CUGUUCUUUCCACAAGACCUGCCACAUUCAGCGCACAGAAAGGAUGAGAUGGUGCUGCACAUUCUACAAGAACACUGAAUUUCAAGUAUUAGGGAAGAAGGAUAAAGUGGAGACUUCAAAAGCCAUCUGGAGAGAAAGGAGAUGAGUCCAUGAGUUGUUUUAUAGAUUAUCUCAGGAUGUUUGAAGUUCCAAGUGGGAAGUUAUUUGGAUCAACGAGAAAGAAGGAUACCCUUGUGUAGCAACAAAGGAGGGAACACAGAUACAGCAAUGAGGCACCAUAAUGGAAGAGGCAGAGUGAGGGCGGGGCCGGACC